CCUUUUGCUUUCCUCUUCGUGCGGUCUUUCUACAGCAUCCCAUACUCUUCCUUCGCGAGAAAGGGGGGACGGGGACGGGCUGAAGGGCCACCGCCCGCGCCGCCGGUCAGCUGCCACCACCGUCACCUCCGAGCGAAGUGUCGCGCGGGCGCGCUGUAGCCGCGCGGCGGACGGGAAGCGCCGUCUCCGUCGAGUUUAUUAGCUGGCGAGGUUACCGCUGGCCGCUGCAGCUUGCCGCCGCCGCCAGCCGUGCACCUGCCUGCCGCGUGCGCCCCCGGCUGCCGCUGGACACAGCUGGGCACGCGCCGCAGCAAGGUCACCGCGGCCGACAGGGCAAUUCCCCUCUCAAGGAGGAAAGCACAUAUGUGAGUCAGAUUCUUCUUGUUAAAUGUGAACCAGGGACAUGCAGAUGGAUGACGUCAUUGACCUUGUGUCAGAAGACGAUAUUGCUUCCUAUGAGGAGACAAGUUCUGAAGAUACUGAGGAUGUGAAAGUCUGUGACGUAUGUGGAAAUGUUGGUGAGGAGAAGAAGCUCGCUGUUUGCAGCAGAUGCAAUGAUGGUGCUGUGCAUAUUUACUGUAUGUUGGUAAUGCUUAAAGAGGUUCCAGAGCGCGGGUGGUUGUGUGAUGAGUGCCAAGCUGAGGUAGAAAUUGAAAUUGAAAAGAAGAAACUUGAGAAAUCUCAAGUAAAUUUUGUCAUGGUUUCCAUGGAGAAUAAAGUGGAUGCUGAAAAGGUGAGACAUAAAGAAUCAGAAGUAGAUAAUGUCACAAGUGGUUGUACAUCUUCCAUAAAGGAGGGCGACACUGGGUUGUGCAUGCUAAACAAAGCUUCUCAUGACAGUGAGCCGAUGUCCAAUGAUAGAAGCGGCAUUUCUAAUUUGAAGUCGUUAGAUCGAGAGAUACACAUCUUGGGAAUGCACGAUAAUUAUGUUUCAUCUGUUUCUAAGGCUAAAGAUGGGUCUAAUGUGGCUCGUGAUAGUGAAAAAGUGGGACAUAAAGAAUCAGAAGUAGCUAAUGUCACAAGUGGUUGUACAUCUUCCACAAAGGAGGGCGAUAGUGGGUUGUGCAUGCUAAACAAAGCUUCUCAUGACUGUGAGCCGAUGUCCAAUGAUAGAAGCGGCAUUUCUUAUUUGAAGUCACUAGAUAGAGAGAUACACAUCUUAGGAAUGCAUGAUAAUGAUGUUUCAUCUGUUUCUAAGGCUAAAGACGCGUCUAAUGUGGCUUGUUGGAAUAAAAGGUUAAACAGACAGAGUGAGGCCAAUUUUUUAGAAGAGAUCAAAGAUGUGAAAGUAUGUGACAUUUGUGGAGAUGUUGGUGAAGUGGAGAAGCUCACUGUUUGUGGUAGAUGCAAUGGUGCUGAGCAUGUUUAUUGUAUGCAGGUGAUGAUGGAAAAGGUUCCAGAUGUCAUGUGGUUGUGUGAAGCAUGUCAAACUGAGGUAGAAUUUGCAGAGGAAAGGACGGAACUAGAAAAAUCCCAAGUAAUGGUUGGUGCAUGUAAACUAGAUUCCUUUGGAGGGCAAACGAAUAAACCUGUGGAUGAUGCAAAUAGCGGAAGUAAUUUUGAGGAUGAAAUGGAGGCUGCAAAUGUGAGUAGUAAAAACAACAUGAGAAAUCAAUCCAUCGGUAUGGCUACCAAGAGGAUAGGAGACGAUGCAACAAUUACGUUACUGAUUGGAAAAGAUCUUUGUGAAUCUGGUGGUGUAUCCAUGGAAGGUGACUCCGCAAAAAGAGCGCCGUUUUCGCGCAAAAAUUCACUCAAGCUGAACACAGAGAAAGGAAAGGAACCUGUUAGGCCAAUGCCAACGCCAUUGACAUUGAAUGCUCUGAAGAAUCAGGCACCACCUCUUUGUGGUCCACUCCCGAAGUCCAUUUCUUUCAAGAACUCAAAGGUCCCGAAGGUGAAACAACUGGUCAUUGAAGUUCCUCAAAAGCCCAAAAAUCUGAAGGAACCUAUAUCCUUAAUUACAAAACAAGACGGGCCAGUGAUCACACUUGCUAAGUCGACAUCAGUCAAAAAGCCAAACUCUAGCGAGCCAGUAAGUAAAGGAAAGUCUUCCAUCUUACUAGAUGUUGAGGAACCAAGAAUGAUGAAUUCAGUAAUGAGCCGAAAUGUAACGAAUAAGAGGGGCACUUCUAUAUCUGGAUAUCCCUCUGUUGCUGCAUCAAUGCUUGUGUCAGUUCCUUCGAAAGCAGAAUCCGCAGCUCAGCAUCUCAAUAAACAAAAUAAGAUGGAUAAUUUAGGCAUCGCUUAUGGAAAAGACGGUAGAAACUUUCCUGCACCUAGUGAACCAAAGAGACAGCUUGUAGCAAAAGUCCCGGGAAGCCUAACGUUAAUUAGUGCUGAGACAUCCUCAGGUCUGCUUUGUUCUGGUGCACAGAUGAAGGGAAUUCAAAUCCCAGAUACUUCACUGGUUGAUAAAAUAAAGAACCCACCUAGCUUGAAGCCAGGUACUUCUAGCAGCAGUUGCACAAUGCAUUGUCAACAAUGUGAUGAAGUGGGGCAUUCUACACAAUUUUGUCCUGUUGGCAGAUCUAGCUUGUUUGUAACAAAACCUUUGAGUGAGCAAACCAGUGACCGAACUGCCAGAUGCAAUAGAACAUCUGAAGCUACUACUUUGACUGCUACUGAAGACAUUUUGAAAUCAGCAUAUCAAUCUGAGCCAAGUCCAAAACGCCGCCGCUAUCAUAACCCAUCAUAUAAGCCUAUAAACGUUUUAUGUACCUCCAUUAGUCAUGAGGAAAGCAGUGAGCAGGAUGUGAGAAAUGGUAUGCCUACUCCUAGUACUACAGCUUCUGUCUAUUGUCACGAGCUAAAAUACAAAGAGCAUCAGGCUGUAUCUGCCAUGGGAGGAAGAUUUGUGGACAGCAGUUCAACUAUGUUGAAUGAUCCGACGGACAAAUCGCCAAUCUUUUCACCUAGUGAUGACAGAAUAACUUCUAGUGUUCCAGAGUUGGCUUACAUUUGGCAAGGUUGUUUUGAAAUAUGGAGGACUGGACGGCCAUCUAAGUUUUGUAAGGGCUUGCAAGGACACUUAUCAUGUUCUGCUUCACAAAAGGUUUUGGAAAUAGCAAAGAAAUUCCCUUCUAAAAUCCGGCUUGAGCAACUUCCUCGCCGGAAUAUAUUCCCCCCACAGUUCCAUGGAAAUGGCCUUUCGUAUGACAGUAUUGGUCUUUUUUUCUUUGCACAAGAUAUCCAGAGUUAUGAGAGGCAUUACAGUAAGUUAGUAGAAUGGAUGCUGAAAGGCGAUUUGGCACUCAGAGGAAACAUUGAAACAGCUGAAUUGCUCAUAUUUCCUUCCAAUAUCCUGCCAAAAAGCUUUCAAAGAUGGAACAUGUCCUAUUAUCUAUGGGGUGUAUUUAGAGUUAGAAGAAAAGACUCUAACCUUCCAUAUCAUGUACCCACAAGAAAACAUUGUAAUUUCAAUGGAAAUCUCUUGGCCGUGGGUCGAAGAACUCAUGCCCACGCUUCUUCUGGCCCCAGUUUCUAUUACUCACCUACUUGUGAAGACUCUCCAUCUAUCAUGCCCUUGGAAGCUAAUCAUGAGGGUUGCCCCAAUGGUGAGAAUUCUCUAGGUUAGCCUUUCUGUGGACGACCUUUAGAAGAUCAGCAUCAUGAUUCAGUUACAGCUAGCUUAUCAACAAAUAACAAUAGCGCUAUUAAUGAAUUUGUCACAGCUCCAACAAGAAAAAAGCAGGGCAAGAGAGGACAGCCGUCAACCAUGACAAUGCAGAGGACCUGUGGGGACCCGGUGUAGUUGACCUACAACGGCGACUGCAAUCAGUAUGUCGCUAAUUGAUAUCAUACGAACAUCCACACAGACCAAUCACGCACUUACAUUGCUGGGACCAGAUUGGUAUACAUGCAUAUAUAUAUAUACGUGUGUAUGAAGGAAUUCUUUGUGAAGUUUGGGUACGCUUAAUAUGAGCGCUGAGCGGAACAUGUUGCUUC